rnacentral:rRNA from 1 species
CUACGGGGGGCAGCAGUGGGGAAUAUUGGACAAUGGGGGAAACCCUGAUCCAGCAAUGCCGCGUGUGUGAAGAAGGCCUGCGGGUUGUAAAGCACUUUCGGUUGGGAGGACUGCUUCUAGCACUAAUAUUGUUGGAAGUUGACGUUACCUUCAGAAGAAGCACCGGCUAACUCCGUGCCAGCAGCCGCGGUAAUACGGAGGGUGCAAGCGUUAAUCGGAAUUACUGGGCGUAAAGCGCGCGUAGGCGGCUAGAUCAGUCGGGUGUGAAAGCCCCGGGCUUAACCUGGGAACUGCAUCCGAUACUGUCUAGCUAGAGUACAGGAGAGGAGAGUGGAAUUCCACAUGUAGCGGUGAAAUGCGUAGAUAUGUGGAGGAACACCAAUGGCGAAGGCAGCUCUCUGGCCUGAUACUGACGCUGAGGUGCGAAAGCGUGGGGUGCAAACAGGAUUAGAUACCCUUGUAGUC